ACAGGACACGUGGCAAUAUUUCGACCCGACAACUGUAUAUGUGUAUAGAGCCACUUCUGUUUUUUUGUUCCUUUUUCUAGACGCCCAUUAAAUAUAAACACUUCGCAAUUCAACAGUAAGCAGUUCAGCAACGACCAGUCAGCGGAUCGGAAAAUCGAAGGGAAUCGAGAAUCUCGGUUGGAGUUUUGUUUGAUCAGAAAUUGAAAGGUCGGAGUCAAUGAAUUGGGUUCAGCGCAAGAUCUAUCUCUACAAUGUCACUUUUGGACUUUACAUGUUAGAUUGGUGGGAGCGUUGUCUCUUCAACAUUUUGGUGAUUUUGUUGAUGUGGUUUGUUUGCUACAACGGCGCACGCAAUGCAUCCGAGUUCUGCAAAAGGUACCUCGUUUCCUUUCCCCCAAGGCACUUAUGGUGAAUUUCAGGAGUUGCAGGAAUGCCAUUUCCAGAUGGAUAAUUAUAGUAUAUGUUUCAGUAACUGUUAAAAGUGGCUCCCAAUUAAAAGCUUUUUCUGGUUAUUUAACCAGGCAUCCGGGGAACAUUGAUGGUGCUUGGAGCAAACUUAAGUAAGAAUGAGUUCUAACUGUUUAUUAUGGGAAGAUAGGACAGCUGAAGGACGAUGCAAGUAUCCCCCAUGUGAUUCUGUGGAUUCCUGUUGCUCCAUCACCAACCAAAUAGAGCUGGAUUGAAUAUUGGUUCUUCUGUUUGUAGGUGUUUAAUUAUUUUGAAGCUUAUGUUCCUCUUGAUGUUUGCUGGAUUCAUAUAUUCCUCCCCUGAGUAGCAAUUAUAUUUUUGUUGUCAUUAUCAACAAUCUUUAGUUUGGCCGGCCUAACAGCUUGCGUGGUAGCUCUAAAUUUGUCUUCUUAAUUAUAUGAUGCUUACACUUAAUGCUAAGGAUAUUGUGAAUUUAAA